UAAGGAAUAUUGCUCAAUGGGAGAAAUCCUGAAGCAGCAACGCCGCGUGGAGGAUGAAGGGUCUAUGACUUGUAAACUCCUGUAAAGAGGGAAAAAAUUCCCAUUAGAUGGGAGAUGAUGGUACUUCUGGAGUAAGCCCCGGCUAACUACGUGCCAGCAGCCGCGGUAAUACGUAGGGGGCAAGCGUUGUCGGGAUUUACUGGGUGUAAAGGGUGCUCAGGCGGAUUUGUAAGUCAGAGGUGAAAUCUUACAGCUUAACUGUGAAACUGCCUUUGAUACUGCAAGCCUAGAGUAUGGAAGAGAGUGAUGGAAUAUCUGGUGUAGCAGUGAAAUGCGUAGGUAUCAGAUAGAACACCAAUGGCGAAGGCAGUCACUUGGUCCAUUACUGACGCUAAAGCACGAAAGCGUGGGUAGCAAACA
rnacentral:rRNA from 1 species